rnacentral:rRNA from 1 species
ACGGGAGGCAGCAGUGAGGAAUAUUGGUCAAUGGGCGGAAGCCUGAACCAGCCAAGUCGCGUGAAGGAUGAAGGUAUUAUGUAUUGUAAACUUCUUUAGACGUAGAGAAAUAAGAGGGUCGUGACCCUUGAUGCUAGUAUACGUAGAAUAAGGAUCGGCUAACUCCGUGCCAGCAGCCGCGGUAAUACGGAGGAUCCGAGCGUUAUCCGGAUUUAUUGGGUUUAAAGGGUGCGCAGGCGGCACGUUAAGUCAGCGGUGAAAUGCAGGGGCUCAACCCCGGCACUGCCGUUGAAACUGGCGAGCUCGAGUACGGAUGAAGUCGGCGGAAUGUGAUGUGUAGCGGUGAAAUGCUUAGAUAUGUCACAGAACACCGAUUGCGAAGGCAGCUGACUAAUCCGCAACUGACGCUCAGGCACGAAAGCGUGGGGAUCGAACAGGAUUAGAUACCCUGGUA